AGGAAUAUUUUCAAUCGAACCCGUUUUUUCAAAUUUAUUUAUCCCAGAUUUGAUGAGAUUGGUGCUUCAUUGACGUUGUGAAGAGCAUAACGAGCACGAAACCGACGCCGAACUGCGGUGUAGGAAUGAUUUAAUUCAUAAAAACUACAGAUACAAAACGCACGUUGUUGGGCAUCAAACCGAAUUCUGACAAUAAAUUUCCAAGGAUUGAUUUACCCAUUGCGAAAAAUGGGAGUGACCAAAGAAGUCCAAGAGGCUAAAAUAACUAUCUGAAAAAUACACAUAUAAAAUUAUAAAUAAGACGAAAUUGAGAAAGCUUACAACGUCGGUGACAAAAUAGUUCAAAUCGUCCCCAGCGAUUUUCUCGUCAAGGAAUUGCAGCAGGGGCAGCAUAAAAUACUUGGCGAAAUGCCGAAAUAUAUGCACCAUGUUAUCAAUGACUUUAACCCAGAAAAUUUUUAUAUUUUUGUGUGUGGCAGGAUUAAGUAAAAGUUGAACGAUACCUGUAAAUAGAUGCUAUAUAAUAGAUAUAAUAAAUAAAUAGAUAAAAAUUGUCUCGGGCAAUAUAAUAAAUAGAAAGUUAGUCAAACGGA